CUUUGAACCAGAAGUAGAUGGUUCUGUGCUGAACCAUGACCUGAAAACGGAACGGCCAAGGUAAGAGUGUGGGAUAGAGUUUUUAUAGGACAAACUCCUCCCAUAAAUACAGGCCUUUGGCAAGAUAGAUGGAUAGAUAGAUACACACAUUUCUGUUAUUUUAAGAUCACAUACCAUGAACAAAGUCUGAUCACAUCUCAAUCACUUAACAUGUCACACAUCCUUAUGCCGCCUUCAG